rnacentral:sRNA from 16 species
CAUUUAUAUUAGCAGUCAUGGAAUCGCCGUUAAUGGCGGUGAAUUCAAAACUUAGACGAA